rnacentral:lncRNA from 1 species
UUUGGAAACAGCCUCUCUACCCCAGGGUAGGGGUAAGGCUGCGUACACACUACCCUCCCCAGACACCACUGAGUGGUAUUGUACUGGGUCGUACUUUUUCAUAUUGACUUCUUUGACACUUAAAUAUAAAGAUGAACCAACAGUCCUCACACUUAAAUAGUAUUCUAGUCCUUUUACAAAAAAAUCAUCCAAACUAGAGUAUAUGACUAAAACUUUCAGAACUUAACAACAAAAAUGAUCAAAUGUACACAUAAUAAGAACUAAACUAAACUGCAGAAUAUCAGCUAGUUUUAGGAGUGUAGAAAUAGCACUUUAACCAACUGAUGUAUCACAGAUUUUCAACUUAAUGAAAUAACUUCAUGUUCUUCCAUUUCAAAUGUCAAGUAGGUGUAGUGAAUACCUAGUUAUAGCCAAUAAACAAAAAAAGCCUGAGAUUAAGAAGAAGCAACAUUAGUAACCCAGCAAAAUGGAAACAAUCAGCAGUAAUUUCAGCCAAAAUCAAACAGUAAUAGAAUCAGCAGAUCAACCUCGAACUUUUAACCCAAUUCCAAACAUUCAAACCAAAAUUCACUAUUCUAUUGAGCUUUAGAAAUUUUGAUUUGUCAAAAGGAAUUAGAAUCCGAAAUCCCAGAUUCACUAUUCUAUUAACCCUUAAACCCCAUGUUUUUACUUCACAAAUCAAAUGUAUACCCAAUGAUUAAAACACAAUGAAUGGGCUGGCCCUUGAAAGUGGGUCAGAAUUGACCCAAUUCUCAAAUCAAGGUCAGACAUCCAUUUUAAUUAUUAAGGAGGAAGCAGAAAUCCAAAAAAUCUAACAAAUAAUCUGAUUUACUUUUUUAAUACUAAAUAAUGAGCCAGAAUUAAAUUAUAUGCCAACAAAAAUCUAACUUAAGCUAAUUAUCGAAACUUCAAAGUCAUAAAUAAUAGAAAAAAUAGAGAAAAACAUUUACAACUUGAAAAGAAAAACUGAAAAUCCAAGGGAGAAAAUACGAACACCAAAUUAAUCAAAAAAUAAAACUAGGUCUAAUAUUUUUUCACAAUUCCCCAUCAGCAAAUAAAAGAUUCAAAAUAUCGGAGGAGAAGAGAAGGAAGAUGAAACAACACAAAACAGAUAGAAAAAAGUGAAGAAAACUUACCAGUUAAUCUCGGAAUAACACUGGACAUCUUGAUUUAGCCAAAAAUAAUGAUAUUCGCUUGUUCGUGGCCAAGAACAAGAGAAUAUCAUUGCUUUGUGUUUAAAUCGACCUUGAGAAACUUAGGAAGCUCAGGGAUUAAGCCUGCAUACAUAGAUUCAAAGGAAAUUGUUUUGGGCUUUUAGGGCUUCACACUUCGAUUCAAGAUUCGACGAGUUUUGAAAAGAUUCGAGGUAGACCAGUUAAGAAUUGGGAAAAAGGGAGCCAUUAGGGUUUCAUGGUGUUGUUUUGGGGUUGAUUAGAGCGCCGCCACCACCGGAGAACGCUAGGGAGGCGCUAGGGUUAAGGGCUAUCUCUGAAGAGGAAGAUGAGAAAUGAGGGAGAUGAAGGGGGGGAGGGGUUCGGUCCUUCAGACAGUUAAAUAUAACAAAAGG